rnacentral:tRNA from 1 species
UGGCCGAGUGGUUAAGGCGGCGGCCUGCUAAGCCGUUGGGCUCUGCCCGCGAGGGUUCGAAUC